rnacentral:lncRNA from 1 species
ACCACGCUGAGGGGACACCAGGGCCCAGCAGAGCAAGGGGAGGGGGGAGCCCCAGCAGGAGGGUGCUGGUUGUCCCCCACCCCACGGUGUGCAGUGCCCCAGAGGGGGGACACAAGGACACGGGGUGCUCAGGGAGGCCCGUCCCCGUAACCCACGUACCAAGCUCCCCGGAGCUGUUGCAGGGGUUCCUCUGGCCGUGGCAGAGGCGGCUGCUCCCGCGCUCCGUCACCUCCUGCCAGGCGCUGCUCCCGCCUGGGCACUGCAGCUCCAGUGGCACCGUGCUGGGAAGGAGAGCUCAGCACCGGGCACCGCGCCCAGCCCCCCUGAACCCCCCCGAGCCCCCCCUGAGCCCCCCGUACUCACAGGUUCUGCAGGUUCGUGAAGCCCAGGAAGGAGCUGUUGGGGAGGGCUGCCAGGGGGUUCUCCGUCAGGUCCCUGCAAACACACCGGGGGCUGGGGGUCCUGCCUGGGGGAGCACAGGCACCCCGGGGUGGUGCCACAGGGGGACAGCGGGGAUGGGAACCAGAGCGUGCACGGCCCAGCCCCAUCCCACAGCUGCCCCCAGAGCCCUCUCCCUGCCCCGCCGGGACUCACAGGACAACGACAGGCGCGGCCUCAGCAAACGCAGCGGGCAGGCUGCGCAGGGAGCAGUUGCUCAGGUCCAACCUGGGCGGAGGGAGGGACGUCAGACACCUGCACCCCACUGCGCCCCCCGCAUGCUGCAGCCUCCCACACCCAACAGCCCCCCAAAAAAUUCCAAAAAAUUCCCCACAGCCCCUCGCACACACCCCGCAGCCCCCAUACACACCCCGCACCCCGCACACAGCCCCCGCAGCCCCCCCCCGCCCCUCCCGUACCCGAGCAGGCGCCGUGGGGGUCCCGGAUCCAGGCAGCAGCGUCCCCGCGGCUCCGCGCCCACCGUGGAGGCGCAGAACCGGGCCACGACGGAUCCGUUCCGCAGCGGCCCCGGGCAGCUCCCGCACACCUGCGGGGGGAAACGGUCACGGGGGGCGCGGGCACGGCCG